rnacentral:rRNA from 1 species
GACGAACGCUGGCGGCGUGCUUAACACAUGCAAGUCGAACGGAAAGGCCCUGCUUUUGUGGGGUGCUCGAGUGGCGAACGGGUGAGUAACACGUGAGUAACCUGCCCUUUACUUUGGGAUAACUUCAGGAAACUGGGGCUAAUACCGGAUAGGAGCUCCUGCUGCAUGGUGGGGGUUGGAAAGUUUCGGCGGUUGGGGAUGGACUCGCGGCUUAUCAGCUUGUUGGUGGGGUAGUGGCUUACCAAGGCUUUGACGGGUAGCCGGCCUGAGAGGGUGACCGGCCACAUUGGGACUGAGAUACGGCCCAGACUCCUACGGGAGGCAGCAGUGGGGAAUAUUGCACAAUGGGUGGAAGCCUGAUGCAGCAACGCCGCGUGCGGGAUGACGGCCUUCGGGUUGUAAACCGCUUUCGCCUGUGACGAAGCGUGAGUGACGGUAAUGGGUAAAGAAGCACCGGCUAACUACGUG